CCCUUAGACGUUCUGGGCCGCACGCGCGCUACACUGACCAGUGCAACAAGCAUCCGUCCUUGGCCGACAGGCUCGGGCAAUCUUUGAACGCUGGUCGUGAUGGGGAUAGACUUUUGCAAUUUUUGGUCUUCAACGAGGAAUUCCUAGUAAACGCAAGUCAUCAACUUGCAUUGAUUACGUCCCUGCCCUUUGUACACACCGCCCGUCGCACCUACCGAUUGAAUGGUCCGGUGAAGCCUCCGGAUUGGCGCGCACCUCGGUGCCGGCGAGAAGUUGGCUAAACCUUACCAUUUAGAGGAAGGUGAAGUCGUAACA
rnacentral:rRNA from 1 species